rnacentral:rRNA from 1 species
AUUGAACGCUGGCGGCAUGCUUUACACAUGCAAGUCGAACGGUAACAGGCCUUCGGGUGCUGACGAGUGGCGAACGGGUGAGUAAUGCAUCGGAACGUGCCCAGAGGUGGGGGAUAACGCAGCGAAAGCUGUGCUAAUACCGCAUGUGAUCUGAGGAUGAAAGCGGGGGACCAGGCAGCAAUGUUUGGCCUCGCGCCUUUGGAGCGGCCGAUGUCAGAUUAGGUAGUUGGUGGGGUAAAGGCCUACCAAGCCGACGAUCUGUAGCUGGUCUGAGAGGACGACCAGCCACCCUGGGACUGAGACACGGCCCAGGCUCCUACGGGAGGCAGCAGUGGGGAAUUUUGGACAAUGGGCGCAAGCCUGAUCCAGCAAUGCCGCGUGCGGGAAGAAGGCCUUCGGGUUGUAAACCGCUUUUGUACGGAACGAAAAGGCUCUGGCUAAUACCUGGGGCUGAUGACGGUACCGUAAGAAUAAGCACCGGCUAACUACGUG